rnacentral:rRNA from 2 species
AGUUUGAUCAUGGCUCAGAGCGAACGCUGGCGGCAGGCCUAACACAUGCAAGUCGAGCGGCCGUAGCAAUACGGCAGCGGCAGACGGGAUAGUAACACGUGGGAACGCGCCCUUCGGUUCGGAAUAACUCAGGGAAACUUGAGCUAAUACCGGAUACGCCCUAACGGGGAAAGAUUUAUUGCCGAAGGAACGGCCCGCGUCCGAUUAGCUAGUUGGUGAGGUAAUGGCUCACCAAGGCGACGAUCGGUAGCUGGUCUGAGAGGAUGACCAGCAUCACUGGGACUGAGACACGGCCCAGACUCCUACGGGAGGCAGCAGUGGGGAAUAUUGGACAAUGGGCGCAAGCCUGAUCCAGCCAUGCCGCGUGGAUGAUGAAGGCCCUAGGGUUGUAAAGUCCUUUUAACGGGGAAGAUAAUGACGGUACCCGUAGAAUAAGCCCCGGCUAACUUCGUGCCAGCCGCCGCGGUAAUAC